rnacentral:rRNA from 1 species
GACGAACGCUGGCGGCGUGCUUAACACAUGCAAGUCGAACGGAAAGGCCCUGCUUUUGUGGGUUUCUCGAUUGGCGAACGGGUGAGUAACACGUGAGUAACCUGCCCUUGACUUUGGGAUAACUUCAGGAAACUGGGGCUAAUACCGGAUAGGAUCUCCUGCUGCAUGGUGGGGGUUGGAAAGUUUCGGCGGUUGGGGAUGGACUCGCGGCUUAUCAGCUUGUUGGUGGGGUAGUGGCUUACCAAGGCUUUGACGGGUAGCCGGCCUGAGAGGGUGACCGGCCACAUUGGGACUGAGAUACGGCGCAGAAUCCUACGGGAGGCAGCAGUGGGGAAUAUUGCAGAAUGGGCGGAAGCCUGAUGCAGAAAUGCCGCGUGCGGGAUGCCGGCCUUCGGGUUGUAAACAGCUUUCGCCUGUGCCGAAGCGUGAGUGACGGUAAUGGGUAAAGAAGCACCGGCUAACUACGUG